GACGAACGCUGGCGGCGUGCUUAACACAUGCAAGUCGAGCGGUAAGGCCCUUUCGGGGGUACACGAGCGGCGAACGGGUGAGUAACACGUGGGUGACCUGCCCUUAGCUCUGGGAUAAGCCUGGGAAACUGGGUCUAAUACCGGAUAUGACUCCAUGACGCAUGUUGUGGGGUGGAAAGCCUUGUGCGGCUAGGGAUGGGCCUGCGGCCUAUCAGCUUGUUGGUGGGGUGAUGGCCUACCAAGGCGACGACGGGUAGCCGGCCUGAGAGGGCGACCGGCCACACUGGGACUGAGACACGGCCCAGACUCCUGCGGGAGGCAGCAGUGGGGAAUCUUGCGCAAUGGGCGAAAGCCUGACGCAGCGACGCCGCGUGGGGAUGACGGCCU
rnacentral:rRNA from 1 species